AGGAUAAGGAUGGGCAUGCGGAACAUUAGCUAGUUGGUAAGGUAACGGCUUACCAAGGCUACGAUGUUUAGGGGAUCUGAGAGGAUGACCCCCCACACUGGUACUGAGACACGGACCAGACUCCUACGGGAGGCAGCAGUAAGGAAUAUUGGUCAAUGGGCGGAAGCCUGAACCAGCCAUGCCGCGUGCAGGAAGACGGCCCUACGGGUUGUAAACUGCUUUUAUACGGGAAUAAACCUCAUUACGUGUAGUGAGUUGAAUGUACUGUAAGAAUAAGGAUCGGCUAACUCCGUGCCAGCAGCCGCGGUAAUACGGAGGAUCCAAGCGUUAUCCGGAUUUAUUGGGUUUAAAGGGUGCGUAGGCGGCCUAUUAAGUCAGGGGUGAAAGACGGUAGCUCAACUAUCGCAGUGCCUUUGAUACUGAUGGGCUUGAAUGUACUUGAGGUAGGCGGAAUGUGACAAGUAGCGGUGAAAUGCAUAGAUAUGUCACAGAACACCAAUUGCGAAGGCAGCUUACUAAAGUAUGAUUGACGCUGAGGCACGAAAGCGUGGGGAUCAAACAGGAUUAGAUACCCUGGUAGUCCACGCCCUAAACGAUGAAUACUCGAUGUUGGCGAUAUACAGUCAGCGUCAAAGCGAAAGCGUUAAGUAUUCCACCUGGGGAGUACGCCCGCAAGGGUGAAACUCAAAGGAAUUGACGGGGGCCCGCACAAGCGGAGGAGCAUGUGGUUUAAUUCGAUGAUACGCGAGGAACCUUACCCGGGCUUGAAAGUUAGUGAAUGAUACAGAGACGUAUCAGUCCUUCGGGACACGAAACUAGGUGCUGCAUGGCUGUCGUCAGCUCGUGCCGUGAGGUGUUGGGUUAAGUCCCGCAACGAGCGCAACCCCUAUGUUUAGUUGCCAGCACGUUAAGGUGGGGACUCUAAACAGACUGCCUAUGCAAAUAGAGAGGAAGGAGGGGACGACGUCAAGUCAUCAUGGCCCUUACGUCCGGGGCUACACACGUGCUACAAUGGGCAGUACAGAGGGCAGCUACCUGGCAACAGGAUGCCAAUCUCAAAAAGCUGUUCACAGUUCGGAUCGGGGUCUGCAACUCGACCCCGUGAAGUUGGAUUCGCUAGUAAUCGCAGAUCAGCAAUGCUGCGGUGAAUACGUUCCCGGGCCUUGUACACACCGCCCGUCAAGCCAUGGAAGCUGGGGGUGCCUGAAGUGCGUAACCGCAAGGAGCGUCCUAGGGUAAAACCGGUAACUGGGGCUAAGUCGUAACAAGGUA
rnacentral:rRNA from 1 species